rnacentral:rRNA from 1 species
CCUCAAGUGGUCAGGAUGAUUAUUGGGCCUAAAGCAUCCGUAGCCUGCUUUGUAAGUUUUCGGUUAAAUCCAUACGCUCAACGUAUGGGCUGCCGGGAAUACUGCAAAGCUAGGGAGUGGGAGAGGUAGACGGUACUCGGUAGGAAGGGGUAAAAUCCUUUGAUCUAUUGAUGACCACCUGUGGCGAAGGCGGUCUACCAGAACACGUCCGACGGUGAGGGAUGAAAGCUGGGGGAGCAAACCGGAUUAGAUACCCGGGUAGUCCCAGCUGUAAACUAUGCAAACUCAGUGAUGCAUUGGCUUGAUGCCAAUGCAGUGCUGCAGGGAAGCCGUUAAGUUUGCCGCCUGGGAAGUACGUACGCAAGUAUGAAACUUAAAGGAAUUGGCGGGGGAGCACCACAAGGGGUGAAGC